CCUACGGGAGGCAGCAGUAGGGAAUCUUCCGCAAUGGACGAAAGUCUGACGGAGCGACGCCGCGUGAGUGAUGAAGGUCUUCGGAUCGUAAAACUCUGUUGUUAGGGAAGAAUAAGUAUAAGGCGAAUAACCUUAUACCUUGACGGUACCUAACCAGAAAGUCCCGGCUAACUACGUGCCAGCAGCCGCGGUAAU
rnacentral:rRNA from 1 species